GACGAACGCUGGCGGCGUGCUUAACACAUGCAAGUCGAACGGAAAGGCCUCUUUCGGGGGGUACUCGAGUGGCGAACGGGUGAGUAACACGUGAGUAACCUGCCCUUGACUUUGGGAUAACUUCAGGAAACUGGGGCUAAUACCGGAUAGGAGCUCCUGCUGCAUGGUGGGGGUUGGAAAGUUUCGGCGGAUGGGGAUGGACUCGCGGCUUAUCAGCUUGUUGGUGGGGUAGUGGCUUACCAAGGCUUUGACGGGUAGCCGGCCUGAGAGGGUGACCGGCCACAUUGGGACUGAGAUACGGCCCAGACUCCUACGGGAGGCAGCAGUGGGGAAUAUUGCACAAUGGGUGGAAGCCUGAUGCAGCAACGCCGUGUGCGGGAUGACGGCCUUCGGGUUGUAAACCGCUUUCGCUCAUGACGAAGCUUUGUGUGACGGUAGUGGGUAAAGAAGCACCGGCUAACUACGUG
rnacentral:rRNA from 1 species